CGCACCUUGCGCUCCUUGGUAUUCCGAGGAGCAUGCCUGUUUGAGUGUCUUGAAGUCAUCAACCCGAACCGUUUUUCAAGCGGGGCGCGGUUGGAGUUGGGGCGUGCUGCCGCGAGGCUGCUCCCCUCAAAUGCUUCGGUCCGACUUGGUCGAACUCGAAAGGGCGUUGUACCAUCCUCGCUCUCCCGAGACGUUCCUAACGCGUCGGGCCUCGACCUGCCUAUCGAGUGGCGGUCAACACACUUUGAAAUCUGACCUCAAAUCAGGUAGGACUACCCGCUGAACUUAA
rnacentral:misc_RNA from 1 species